CCGGUGUGGCUGUUUGGGUUCCUGGCAUGCUGAUUUGUGAGUUAAGAUUAAAAUCACAUUGCCAGGGAUUACCACACAACCAUGUCCU
ensembl:miRNA xtr-mir-23b xtr-mir-23b